AGCCGUCUGGGAGUUGUCCCCGCCUGCUCUGAGGAACUCUCGGCGGGACACCAGCCACUGGCGCGGCUCUCGGUCGUAGUCGCUGCACGCAGGGGACGUGGGGCACGUCUCUACCUGCGGCGCGCAGUGCAAUGCAUCUGGCCAGGUUCGGGGACGGGUUAUCUGAAGCCUGAGGAUCAGGGUGCACUUGAAGACGCGUCUCUUUACAGCGCCGACAAAGCUUAAGUGCAGCCGAGAGAGGAACCGAAAAGACAGUUUACCAAAGCCUCACGACAGCGUUCCAUGAAAAGGAAAGCGCAUAGGGACCCUCCAAGGGCGCGCGCGCGCGCGCGCGCACACACACACACACACACACACACACACACACACACACACACGCAAACACACUCGCACACUCCAGCACUUCCUCCACAGGGUCUCCGAGAGGCCAAAUAAUGCUUCUAGCGACAGGCAGCCGACCCCUAGCGGAUCUAACUUCCAGCCAGAAGACUCUGACCCCGUCGCCAACUCAGUCCGCCGCGGGGGUGUCGGGGUUUGAGCGGUGUGGGAAAGUUAGAAGGAGCGGCUUCUGAAGUACUGUCUAGUAGCCCCGCCAGAGUCCCCGCACCGUGUCUGCCAACCUCAGCGUCCGCUCCAGCCAAGCAGAUCCUUCAGAAACCGAUCUCAGAGUUGCAAAGGCUUUACAACUCCUACCCGGCACGGAAAGGAGACCCCAAGCGCGAUCCCAAGCGUCUACAAACCCGAGAACAGCUUUCGGCCUGCACUCGACCUCUCCCUCUGGCUUGGCUUACUUUUUAAACCACCUCCACCCCCACCGCCACCCCCGCGCGCGCCACUUCCUUCCCCCACCCCUUUCCUCCUUUUGCACCAGCUACAGAAUCGCGGCUAAGAUUCCUCCAAGAAAUUCACCAACACAACUCGGGUGGGGUUGGGGGGGGGGGUGACCUGACUAUCCUAAGAUGCCUGGCCUGUUCUAACCUCGGAAGCGCAACUCUUGUUCCAACAGGUCUUUGCACGGGGUCCAUCCGAGGACCGGAGUCCCAGGACUCCCCCGCUCCAGAGCCCGCUCCACCCCGCCUCUUUGCCUCACUUAGGAACUCGACGUGUCCAGCUGGUUUUCAACCUAACCUCUCCCCCCCCCCCGCACCGGCCCCAGUUUUCGAGGCGGGGGGCACUUUCGGGAAACCUUUGAGAAAGAAGUGUAAAGGAUGGAGAGUCACGUCCUUCCUGGCGGCGGUGGCUGCCCAGCGCCAUCCCACACUGCUGCCCUGGGUGCAGAGACCGCGGGCGCCCCUGAGCGACAGUCCGCUCUCACCACCAUCAGCGCAGCUUUCUGAGACGAUUUCUCUAUUCCCCGACCAGCGUCGCCGCUGGGAAUAACUGGGAAAGCGCUGGAAAGGGCAAAGGGCUUAUUGUUGAUUUGUUUAUUUGCUUUUAAGGGGGAAAGAGAUGGCGAUAUGCUAGCGACUGGCGCACGCGGAGCGAGGGCACCGUGGAACCGCCGACGCUCAGGAUCCCCGGACAAUCCUGUGCCUUUGGCGGUGUGUGGAGCGCUCUCGACGUUAAAGCCCAGUAAAUAGACGAAGGACUUGUUUCAAUUUCAACUUCACAAGGAUCCCUUUCUAAUCACUCCUUUCUUCCCUGAUUUUUUUUAAUUAAAAAAUACAGAUCAAAGUAAA
rnacentral:lncRNA from 1 species